rnacentral:rRNA from 1 species
AGUGAACGCUGGCGGUAGGCCUAACACAUGCAAGUCGAACGGCAGCACAGUAAGAGCUUGCUCUUACGGGUGGCGAGUGGCGGACGGGUGAGGAAUACAUCGGAAUCUACUUUUUCGUGGGGGAUAACGUAGGGAAACUUACGCUAAUACCGCAUCCGACCUACGGGUGAAAGCAGGGGAUCUUCGGACCUUGCGCGAUUGAAUGAGCCGAUGUCGGAUUAGCUAGUUGGCGGGGUAAAGGCCCACCAAGGCGACGAUCCGUAGCUGGUCUGAGAGGAUGAUCAGCCACACUGGAACUGAGACACGGUCCAGACUCCUACGGGAGGCAGCAGUGGGGAAUAUUGGACAAUGGGCGCAAGCCUGAUCCAGCCAUACCGCGUGGGUGAAGAAGGCCUUCGGGUUGUAAAGCCCUUUUGUUGGGAAAGAAAAGCAGAAGGUUAAUACCCCGCUGUUCUGACGGUACCCAAAGAAUAAGCACCGGCUAACUUCGUG